rnacentral:rRNA from 1 species
CAUGCAAGUCGAACGGCAGCACGGGUGCUUGCACCUGGUGGCGAGUGGCGAACGGGUGAGUAAUACAUCGGAACAUGUCCUGUAGUGGGGGAUAGCCCGGCGAAAGCCGGAUUAAUACCGCAUACGAUCUACGGAUGAAAGCGGGGGACCUUCGGGCCUCGCGCUAUAGGGUUGGCCGAUGGCUGAUUAGCUAGUUGGUGGGGUAAAGGCCUACCAAGGCGACGAUCAGUAGCUGGUCUGAGAGGACGACCAGCCACACUGGGACUGAGACACGGCCCAGACUCCUACGGGAGGCAGCAGUGGGGAAUUUUGGACAAUGGGCGAAAGCCUGAUCCAGCAAUGCCGCGUGUGUGAAGAAGGCCUUCGGGUUGUAAAGCACUUUUGUCCGGAAAGAAAUCCUUGGCUCUAAUACAGUCGGGGGAUGACGGUACCGGAAGAAUAAGCACCGGCUAACUACGUGCCAGCAGCCGCGGUAAUACGUAGGGUGCGAGCGUUAAUCGGAAUUACUGGGCGUAAAGCGUGCGCAGGCGGUUUGCUAAGACCGAUGUGAAAUCCCCGGGCUCAACCUGGGAACUGCAUUGGUGACUGGCAGGCUAGAGUAUGGCAGAGGGGGGUAGAAUUCCACGUGUAGCAGUGAAAUGCGUAGAGAUGUGGAGGAAUACCGAUGGCGAAGGCAGCCCCCUGGGCCAAUACUGACGCUCAUGCACGAAAGCGUGGGGAGCAAACAGGAUUA